rnacentral:rRNA from 1 species
CCUACGGGCGGCAGCAGUGGGGAAUAUUGCACAAUGGGGGAAACCCUGAUGCAGCGACGCCGCGUGAGGGAAGAAGUAAUUCGGUAUGUAAAGCUCUAUCAGCAGGGAAGAAAAUGACGGUACCUGAGUAAGAAGCCCCGGCUAACUACGUGCCAGCAGCCGCGGUAAUACGUAGGGGGCAAGCGUUAUCCGGAUUUACUGGGUGUAAAGGGAGCGUAGACGGCAGUGCAAGUCUGGAGUGAAAGGCGGGGGCUCAACCCCCGGACUGCUCUGGAAACUGUACGGCUGGAGUGCAGGAGAGGUAAGUGGAAUUCCUGGUGUAGCGGUGAAAUGCGUAGAUAUUAGGAGGAACACCAGUGGCGAAGGCGGCUUACUGGACUGUAACUGACGUUGAGGCUCGAAAGCGUGGGGAGCAAACAGGAUUAGAUACCCUUCUAGUC